AUUGAACGCUGGCGGCAUGCCUUACACAUGCAAGUCGAACGGUAACAGGUCUUCGGAUGCUGACGAGUGGCGAACGGGUGAGUAAUACAUCGGAACGUGCCCGAUCGUGGGGGAUAACGGAGCGAAAGCUUUGCUAAUACCGCAUACGAUCUACGGAUGAAAGCAGGGGACCGCAAGGCCUUGCGCGGACGGAGCGGCCGAUGGCAGAUUAGGUAGUUGGUGGGAUAAAAGCUUACCAAGCCGACGAUCUGUAGCUGGUCUGAGAGGACGACCAGCCACACUGGGACUGAGACACGGCCCAGACUCCUACGGGAGGCAGCAGUGGGGAAUUUUGGACAAUGGGCGAAAGCCUGAUCCAGCCAUGCCGCGUGAAGGAUGAAGGCCUUCGGGUUGUAAACUGCUGUUGUACGGAACGAAAAGACUCUUUCUAAUAAAGAGGGUCCAUGACGGUACCGUAAGAAUAAGCACCGGCUAACUACGUG
rnacentral:rRNA from 1 species